CCUCAAUGUAGUUACAUACAUAAAUAUCUUUUUUUUAUAGCGAACAAACUAUAUUGUGUGCAAAAAAACCUCUAUUCUCUAUUCCUUAUUUUUUUUACUCAUUGUUCUUUAUUUCUUUUGUCCAUCAUUCUCUUUCCAAUAUAUGUUUAACACCAUACUUUUUCUCUUUUCUUUAUUUUUCGGCCUAUUUUCCUAUCGUUUAAGUAAAGCAAGUAUAUUGAAAUUCAGAUAAUCAUGACAGGCAGAGUGUUUUCGUUUAAUUUCGGCGAAUUCGUUUCGUUUCGUUCCGUUCCAUUUUAAUUUGUUGUAUUUUAUUACGGUUUUUGUUUUUUAUAUCUCUUUCCGCACUUUACACUGAGGUAACCGGCUUAAGCCAGUCACCAUUUAACAUACUUGCACAAAAAAAGGUGAUCAUAUCCAACUAAGUUAGACAUCACGUGACUUUUGUGAGGUAUACUAGCCGCCAUUUUGUAUUAUAUUGCCCCAUAUAAAAUGCAUAGGUGCUUCAAUAAAGUUUAAUUUUCUCAUUAAUCUGACCCGUUUUCUAACUUUUGCAAAUCGAUCCUUGAUAUUCAAACAUAUUUCUAUCAAAAAAUGUCGGUCCUGACAGUUUAAUUUUUUAUUAAAUUCUGUCACUGGCAAAUCGUAAAAACAUGCAAUUUUCUCGUCAUUUCUCCGUUUACUUUAUAUAGAGUGGUUUUUCC
rnacentral:lncRNA from 1 species